rnacentral:rRNA from 1 species
GAACNGCAGCACAGAGGAGCUUGCCCUUGGGUGGCGAGUGGCGGACGGGUGAGGAAUACAUCGGAAUCUACUCUGUCGUGGGGGAUKACGUAGGGAAACUUACGCUAAUACCGCAUACGACCUACGGGUWAAAGCAGGGGAUCUUCGGACCUUGCGCGAUUGAAUGAGCCGAUGUCGRAUGCUAGUUGGCGGGGUNAAGGCCCACNAAGGCGNCGAUCCGUAGCUGGUCUGAGAGGAU